GAUGAAGAACGCAGUGAAAUGCGAUAAUUAAUGUGAAUUGCAGAAUUCAGUGAAUCAUCGAGUCUUUGAACGCACAUUGCGCCCCCUGGUAUUCCGGGGGGCAUGCCUGUCCGAGCGUCAUUGCUGCCCUCAAGCACGGCUUGUGUGUUGGGCUUCCGUCCCUGGCAACGGGGACGGGCCCAAAAGGCAGUGGCGGCACCAUGUCUGGUCCUCGAGCGUAUGGGGCUUUGUCACCCGCUCCCGUAGGUCCAGCUGGCAGCUAGCCUCGCAACCAAUCUUUUUAACCAGGUUGACCUCGGAUCAGGUAGGGAUACUCGCUGAACUUAAGCAUAUCAAUAAGCGGAGGA
rnacentral:misc_RNA from 1 species